CUUUCACCACCGUCGUUCCUCUUUGUGUUCCUGUGCCCCACAGCAAGCAGGCACUCGAUAAAUGAUUACAAAAUGGGGCCACGAAGGGGUCCAUGAUCUAGGUCUCCUCUUGAGACAUAAGCGGUGUUCACCUGUGAUUUGGGUAAGACUGGAGGUCCUGGGGCAUCCAACAUGGGCUUCUCUGCGUGGGGCUGAGGAGACUUCCCAGAAAGAACUCACUGGAAGAACGAACCCACUUCAGAAUGGAGCCAACAGGAGGAAAACAGAGGUAGAUGUGGAUGGAGACAAAGCCUUUAUAAUAUUGCUCACUUGAGUACCUGGAUCCAGCCAUGCCUGAAACCGGUAAUCUAUCCUUGGACAUUCCACUCAUGUCCCGGGACCACACUUCGAGAACCUCUGAACAAAAUGCUCUUAAGAGGAUUACAGAGCCAGUGAGAGAAACUGAGUCAGGCCUGGAAGCUACACAGAGAGAGGCGAGCCCACACCACACUACGGGACAGCUUCAGAGAAGAAGAGCCACGGUACGGUUGUCACCGCUAACACCAGGCACUGGGCACCUGCCACCACUGUGGCCCCCCGGAAGGCUGCCGCCUCCCCCAUCACCCCCAGCGUCUGCAACCGAAGUCUCCUGGGGGUUGCACACCUGAUUCUAGCUGCAAGAGAGGCCAGGAAACAGAGGUGAGAAUUCUAAUAUGG